UGAGGAAUAUUGGUCAAUGGGCGAGAGCCUGAACCAGCCAAGUAGCGUGCAGGAUGACGGCCCUAUGGGUUGUAAACUGCUUUUAUGUGGGGAUAAAGUGCGUGACGUGUCAUGCAUUGCAGGUACCACAUGAAUAAGGACCGGCUAAUUCCGUGCCAGCAGCCGCGGUAAUACGGAAGGUCCGGGCGUUAUCCGGAUUUAUUGGGUUUAAAGGGAGCGUAGGCUGUCUAUUAAGCGUGUUGUGAAAUUUACCGGCUCAACCGGUAGCUUGCAGCGCGUACUGGUCGACUUGAGUAUGCAGGAAGUAGGCGGAAUUCAUGGUGUAGCGGUGAAAUGCUUAGAUAUCAUGACGAACUCCGAUUGCGCAGGCAGCUUACUGUAGCAUAACUGACGCUGAUGCUCGAAAGUGCGGGUAUCAAACAGG
rnacentral:rRNA from 1 species